UACGUAGGCAGCGAGCGUUGUUCGGAGUUACUGGGCGUAAAGGGUGCGUAGGCGGUUGUUUAAGUUUGGUGUGAAAUCUCCCGGCUCAACUGGGAGGGUGCGCCGAAUACUGAAUGACUAGAGUGCGGGAGAGGAUAGUGGAAUUCCCAGUGUAGCGGUGAAAUGCGUAGAUAUUGGGAAGAACACCAGUGGCGUAAGCGACUCGCCGGGCUGUAACUGACGCUGAGGAACGAAAGCCAGGGUAGCGAAUGGG
rnacentral:rRNA from 1 species